rnacentral:rRNA from 1 species
GACGAACGCUGGCGGCGUGCUUAACACAUGCAAGUCGAACGAAGAGCGAUGGAAGCUUGCUUCUAUCAAUCUUAGUGGCGAACGGGUGAGUAACGCGUAAUCAACCUGCCCUUCAGAGGGGGACAACAGUUGGAAACGACUGCUAAUACCGCAUACGAUCUGACCUCGGCAUCGAGGAUAGAUGAAAGGUGGCCUCUAUUUAUAAGCUAUCACUGAAGGAGGGGAUUGCGUCUGAUUAGCUAGUUGGAGGGGUAACGGCCCACCAAGGCGAUGAUCAGUAGCCGGUCUGAGAGGAUGAACGGCCACAUUGGGACUGAGACACGGCCCAGACUCCUACGGGAGGCAGCAGUGGGGAAUCUUCCGCAAUGGACGAAAGUCUGACGGAGCAACGCCGCGUGAGUGAUGACGGCCUUCGGGUUGUAAAGCUCUGUUAAUCGGGACGAAAGGCCUUCUUGCGAAUAGUUAGAAGGAUGACG